CAGGACGAACGCUGGCGGCGUGCCUAACACAUGCAAGUCGAGCGAGGAGAUUCCUUCGGGAUGAUCCUAGCGGCGGACGGGUGGGUAACACGUGGGCAACCUGCCUCAUAGAGAGGAAUAGCCUUCCGAAAGGGAGAUUAAUACCUCAUAACAUUGCAGUUUCGCAUGGAACAGCAAUUAAAGGAGUAAUCCGCUAUGAGAUGGGCCCGCGGCGCAUUAGCUAGUUGGUGAGGUAACGGCUCACCAAGGCGACGAUGCGUAGCCGACCUGAGAGGGUGAUCGGCCACAUUGGGACUGAGACACGGCCCAGACUCCUACGGGAGGCAGCAGUGGGGAAUAUUGCACAGUGGGGGAAACCCUGAUGCAAGCAACGCCGCGUGAGUGAUGACGGCCUUCGGGUUGUAAAGCUCUGUCUUCAGGGACGAUAAUGACGGUACCUGAGGAGGAAGCCACGGCUAACUACGUGCCAGCCGCUGC
rnacentral:rRNA from 1 species